rnacentral:rRNA from 1 species
CCUACGGGAGGCAGCAGUGGGGAAUAUUGGACAAUGGGGGGAACCCUGAUCCAGCCAUGCCGCGUGUGUGAAGAAGGCCCUCGGGUUGUAAAGCACUUUCAGUGAGGAAGAACGCCUGGUGGUUAAUACCCAUCAGGAAAGACAUCACUCACAGAAGAAGCACCGGCUAACUCCGUGCCAGCAGCCGCGGUAAUACGGAGGGUGCGAGCGUUAAUCGGAAUUACUGGGCGUAAAGCGCGCGUAGGUGGCUUGAUAAGCCGGUUGUGAAAGCCCCGGGCUCAACCUGGGAACGGCAUCCGGAACUGUCAAGCUAGGGUGCAGGAGAGGAAGGUAGAAUUCCCGGUGUAGCGGUGAAAUGCGUAGAGAUCGGGAGGAAUACCAGUGGCGAAGGCGGCCUUCUGGACUGACACUGACACUGAGGUGCGAAAGCGUGGGUAGCAAACAGGAUUAGAUACCCUGGUAGUA